GCUUCUGGUGCGAAUCGAACCCACGACCCCUACAUUGGUAAUCCAAGCACGCUACCAACUCGGCUACCGGGGCGAAGUAGAUAACUCAGUUUAUUUCCUGACGAUCGAAGCUAAAAACGGUUGAUAAUUUCCGUACUUUUGGAUUUUUUUAUUACUUUGUGUCACCCUGUGAUUUUAUAAAUUUUUGUGCUAUCGAAAGUUAGCGAUGUCAUUUGCUUUACGCAGAUUUAAUUUCUUAGUUAACUUACUAAUAUCCUUAAUUUCUAGGUCUUCGGUUUAAGGGCAUAACAGGGACACUCAAUUUCUACACUACAUUUUUCAAUAUUCUGAGAGGCUAGCAAAAAAGAUGGAAGCAGAUAAUAAUGGGGUGCUACCAAACUACAUAAUGAAGCAAUUUAAGAACGGAUGGACAGUUUACCACGAAGCUGCAUCGAGAGGUGAUAUUCCUCGUUUGUUUAAGCUCAUUAAAAAUGGUGAAUAUGUAAUUCAAAAGAAUUAUAGUGAAGGUAAUACUCCACUGCAUGAAGCGGCAGUCAGAGGUUAUAGUCGGUGUGUUGUUCUAUUAUGUGAGAGUCUGCAACAUGUACAAAUCAGCCCCACUAUCAAUAUGAAGAAUAAUUACGGAUUUUCGGCACUACAUUUAGCAGCACAAAAUGGACACAAGCAAUGUUGUCGAGAGUUACUUUUAAGGGGCUCAAACCCUAAUAUUUGC
rnacentral:sRNA from 14 species